rnacentral:rRNA from 1 species
CCUACGGGAGGCAGCAGUGGGGAAUAUUGGACAAUGGGGGCAACCCUGAUCCAGCAAUGCCGCGUGUGUGAAGAAGGCCUGCGGGUUGUAAAGCACUUUGAGUAGGAAAGAAGGUCUGAGGGCUAAUAUCCCUUGGAAUUGACGUUACCUACAGAACAAGCACCGGCUAACUCCGUGCCAGCAGCCGCGGUAAUACGGAGGGUGCGAGCGUUAAUCGGAAUUACUGGGCGUAAAGCGCGCGUAGGCGGUUUGUUAAGUUUGAUGUGAAAGCCCUGGGCUUAACCUGGGAACUGCAUUGGAGACUGGCAGGCUAGAGUGUGGUAGAGGGGUGUGGAAUUUCCGGUGUAGCAGUGAAAUGCGUAGAGAUCGGAAGGAACACCAGUGGCGAAGGCGGCACCCUGGACCAACACUGACGCUGAGGUGCGAAAGCGUGGGGAGCAAACAGGAUUAGAUACCCUUGUAGUC